GCUAUGCUUUAGUGGUAGCAUAUCUGCCUUCCAUACAGAAGAUUCCAGGUUCAAUCCUUGGCAUCUGCU